rnacentral:lncRNA from 1 species
UUAUUUUAGGCUUUAAGCAAUCCUUUGAGGUGCCAAUCCUUAUAGUCAUAUUAUAGGUGAGGAAAUGGGCUCAGUAAAAUAUCCUAUCUGCCCAAGACUUCACUGUAGCAGAACAACUCUAAAUAUACCAUUUUUCUCAUAGCAUACAGCUACCAAUAAAACAUGGCGAACUGCAGUUGAUUUGUCUGAUUAAGUUUGACACAGAAAGGAGGAAAAUAAAUAAGUGCUCUGCAGAACGUAAAUUAAAACCACUCACCUAAGGCAGCUGGCCACAGCAGCACAGAAGGAGUUUUUAGAGAAAGAGAUUCUAAUAAAGGAAUUUGAAAAUUAAUAGAGAGUAGGAAGAGAAGUUACCGGAGAGGAUAGUGCCAUACUAGAUAACAAAAUAAAGAGCUAAAAACACAGGAGAGAGCAGCACAAAGCCUCAAGAUCCUCAAAAGAGUUGAGCAAGAUGAAUGCUGAGACUUGUCCCCUGGAUUGGGAAAUAGCAGGACACGGAUGCCAUUUUUGCAGGGUGGCUUGAUGGAGUAAAUGAAGGGAGGCGGUCAGACUGAAAUGGAGUGGAUUCACAGUUUAGAGUUUUCUUUCUAGAAGCUCAGCAGAGAAAGAAAAGAAACAGAAGAAAUAGAAGAGAAUGUUUUGACAGGACACUUUAAUCGCAGAAGUUUAUGGUAGUUUUAUUCGUUUGUUUUUACGAGAACAGAGAUUUGAGUAUCUCUAUAGCCUGAGGGAAAAAGCCAAGAAGUAGUAAAUUGUUGCAGGUGGGAAGCCGAGAGCACCUUGCUGGGGAGACGGGAACCUUGCAAUCAGGUCAUGGAAAGGGAACGAGGUGUGAAUGGAAGGAUCUGAAGCUGAUCUCCUAAGAGUGGAGGACAGAAGGGAUUAAGAAAACAACUGGGCAGGAAGCAUGUGGUAAUUGAAGUGGCACACUGCUGCGCAGAGGUUGCUCUGGAAGUGGUGUGUGCUGAGAUCAGAUUUUCAUGUAUUGUGCCUUUCACGGUAUCACAGAACCAAGAUACAUGUACAGGGAAUGAUAUUAAGUGUUAAAUAAAAGCUGUAUAGACAUUGGGAAUUAAACUAGAAGCUGCUUACAUCCAGUGGAGCAAGGAAAAUCGAAAAACUCAAAGAAAAAUGGCAAAAGAAAUUGUUUCCAGACAAGGAAAUGAAAACAUCAUCAAAUAUUAGAGAAAGAGCAAUUCCCAGGAAAUAAUUAUCCCAAAAUGCAAAAUAAAAUUUAGGGAAUGUGUUGAUCCUCA